rfam:Oryza nivara chromosome 3, whole genome shotgun sequence.
AAUAAUUGCAGCCAUAAGUUUUCGCGUCCAACUUUAAUCGUCCGUCUUAUUUGAAUUUUUUUUAUAAUUAGCAUUUUUGUUGUUAUAAGAUGAUAAAACAUAAAUAAUACUUUAGUCACGACUUAUGUUUUUAAUUUUUUUCUAAAUUUUUUCAAAUAAGAUGAACGGUCAAAGUUAGACACGAAAAACCAUGGCUACACUUAUU